ACAUCCAGCGAACUUGGCAGAGAUGCCUUGGUGCCUUCGGGAACGCUGAGACAGGUGCUGCAUGGCUGUCGUCAGCUCGUGUUGUGAAAUGUUGGGUUAAGUCCCGCAACGAGCGCAACCCUUAUCCUUUGUUGCCAGCGAUUCGGUCGGGAACUCAAAGGAGACUGCCGGUGAUAAACCGGGAGGAAGGUGGGGAUGACGUCAAGUCAUCAUGGCCCUUACGAGUAGGGCUACACACGUGCUACAAUGGCGCAUACAAAGAGAAGCGACCUCGCGAGAGCAAGCGGACCUCAUAAAGUGCGUCGUAGUCCGGAUCGGAGUCUGCAACUCGACUCCGUGAAGUCGGAAUCGCUAGUAAUCGUGGAUCAGAAUGCCACGGUGAAUACGUUCCCGGGCCUUGUACACACCGCCCGUCACACCAUGGGAGUGGGUUGCAAAAGAAGUAGGUAGCUUAACCUUCGGGAGGGCGCUUACCACUUUGUGAUUCAUGACUGGGGUGAAGUCGUAACAAGGUAGGCGUAGCGAG
rnacentral:rRNA from 1 species